AUGAAGGAGGCCCGCGCCCGCCACGGCGAGGGGUCGCCGCUCCUCCCCCGCGCCCACGGCACCGUCCACUCCCGCGCCGCCGCCGUCCUCACCGACCCCGCCGCGCGCCGCGCCAUCGACCUCGCGCCCGACUCCCUCGAGCUCGCCCACUUCCGCGCCCUCCUCCUCUAUGAGGCCGCCAGCGACAACCGCGCCUACGAGGAGGCCCUUGCCGAGUGCGAGCGCGGGCUCAGGAUCGACGACCCCUCCGACCCGGAGCCCGACUCGCUCAGGCUACCCGCUCCCGACCCCGACCAGCUCCGGGCCGAGCUCCGCAACCUCGUCCAGAAGGCCAAUCUCGCAUCCAUAUCCACCUGGGUCAAGAACCUCGCGCCCGGAUCCGGCCGCGGGACGUCCGGCCACUCCGGAUCCGGUCUCCUCCUCGCCGCACGGGCCUCCUCCUUGCCGGAGUGA
rnacentral:rRNA from 1 species